rnacentral:rRNA from 1 species
CGCGGCGGACGGGUGAGUAAUGUCUGGGAAACUGCCUGCUGGAGGAGGAUAACUACUGUAAACGUUAGCUAAUACCGCAUAACCUCAGAUGUGCCCAGAUGUGAUGAGCUGGUAUGUGGGGUAACGGCUAACCUAGGAGACUAUCCCUUGCUGGUCUGAGAUGAUGACCAGCGAGUCUGAAACCGAGAAACGGUCAAGACUCCUACGGGAUGAAGCAGGUGGGAAUAUGGCACAAUUGGCGUAAGCGUGAUGUAGCCAUGCAGCGUGUGUGAAGAAGGCCUUGGGGUUUUAAAGCACUUUCAGCGUGGAGGCGUUACCCGCAGAAGAAGCACCGGAUAACUCAGUUCCAGAAGCCGCGGUAAUAC